CGCUGAACUGAAGCAUCUCAUUAAGCGGAGGAAAAGAAACUAACUAGGAUUCCCUCAGUCAAGGCGAUCGAAGAGGGAAGAGCCCAACGUCUUAAUCCCUCAAAACUGGGAAAUGUAGACAGUGCCUCAAUUGCCGUCGACUAAGCAAGUCGGAUAUUGCGCGAUACAGAGUAAAAGCCUCGUAAGAUCAUGCGGCAAGCUAUGGGACAUUGGAGAGAGUCGGAUACCUUGAGAAUGGUGUCUUAAGUGGGUGGUACGUCCCAUCCAAGGCUAAAUACUGUGAGGAGACCGAUAGAUUACAAGUAGUGUGAACGAAAGAUGAAAAGGACUCCAUGACGGAACGUGAAAAGCGCCUGAACUUGGACCUAGAGAAGGCUAUUAUAUAGCGCCCGUCUUGUAACACGGAUUAGGG
rnacentral:rRNA from 1 species